CAGUCGCCGCGGUAAUACGAAGGGUGCAAGCGUUACUCGGAAUUACUGGGCGUAAAGCGUGCGUAGGUGGUGGUUUAAGUCCGUUGUGAAAGCCCUGGGCUCAACCUGGGAAUUGCAGUGGAUACUGGAUCACUAGAGUGUGGUAGAGGAUAGUUGAACUUCCGGUGUAGCAGUGAAAUGCGUAGAGAUCGGAAGGAACAUCUGUGGCGAAGGCGACUAUCUGGGCCAACACUGACACUGAGGCACGAAAGCGUGGGGAGCAAACAGGAUUAGAUACCCCUGUAGUCCCUGUCUCUUAUAC
rnacentral:rRNA from 1 species